GAGGUAGCUCAGUUGGUUAGAACAACAGACUCAUAAUCAGAAGAUCCCUGGUUCAAGCCCAG
rnacentral:tRNA from 1 species